UGAGGCAUCUCGAAACUUUUAAAAGACCCGCAAGGGUAUGCUGAGAGAUGGGCUUGCGGCACAUUAGUUAGUUGGUAAGGUAAUGGCUUACCAAGACUAUGAUGUGUAGCUGGACUGAGAGGUUGAACGGCCACAUUGGGACUGAGAUACGGCCCAAACUCCUACGGGAGGCAGCAGUAAGGAAUUUUCGGCAAUGGAGGAAACUCUGACCGAGCAACGCCGCGUGAACGAUGAAGUAUUUAGGUACGUAAAGUUCUUUUAUUAAAGAAGAAAAAAUGAUGGAAAAAUCAUUCUGACGGUAUUUAAUGAAUAAGCCCCGGCUAACUAUGUGCCAGCAGCUGCGGUAAUACAUGGGGGGCAAGCGUUAUCCGGAUUUAUUGGGCGUAAAGGGUGCGUAGGCGGUUAAAUAAGUCUAUGGUAUAAGUUCAACGCUUAACGUUGUGAUGCUAUAGAAACUGUUUGACUAGAGUUGGAUAGAGGCAAGUGGAAUUCCAUGUGUAGCGGUAAAAUGCGUAAAUAUAUGGAGGAACACCAGUAGCGAAGGCGGCUUGCUGGGUCUUAACUGACGCUGAGGCACGAAAGCGUGGGGAGCAAACAGGAUUAGAUACCCUGGUAGUCCACGCCGUAAACGAUGAGUACUAAGUGUUGGGUUAAACCAGUGCUGAAGUUAACACAUUAAGUACUCCGCCUGAGUAGUACGUACGCAAGUAUGAAACUUAAAGGAAUUGACGGGACUCCGCACAAGCGGUGGAUCAUGUUGUUUAAUUCGAAGAUACACGAAAAACCUUACCAGGUCUUGACAUACUCUGCAAAGCUAUAGAAAUAUAGUGGAGGUUAUCAGGGAUACAGGUGGUGCAUGGUUGUCGUCAGCUCGUGUCGUGAGAUGUUGGGUUAAGUCCCGCAACGAGCGCAACCCUUAUCACUAGUUACCAUCAUUUAGUUGGGCACUUUAGUGAGACUGCCAAUGAUAAAUUGGAGGAAGGUGGGGAUUACGUCAAAUCAUCAUGCCCCUUAUGACCUGGGCUACAAACGUGAUACAAUGGCUGUUACAAAGAGUAGCUGAAACGUGAGUUUUUAGCAAAUCUCAAAAAAACAGUCUCAGUUCGGAUUGAAGUCUGCAACUCGACUUCAUGAAGUCGGAAUCGCUAGUAAUCGCGAAUCAGCAUGUCGUGGUGAAUAC
rnacentral:rRNA from 1 species